rnacentral:rRNA from 1 species
UUCAGCCUAGGGGCGCAGCAGUGAGGAAUAUUGGUCAAUGGCCGAGAGGCUGAACCAGCCAAGUCGCGUGAGGGAAGACGGCCCUACGGGUUGUAAACCUCUUUUGCCGGGGAGCAAGCCUGAGCACGUGUGCCCAGGCGGAGAGUACCCGGAGAAAAAGCAUCGGCUAACUCCGUGCCAGCAGCCGCGGUAAUACGGAGGAUGCGAGCGUUAUCCGGAUUUAUUGGGUUUAAAGGGUGCGCAGGCGGGCUGUUAAGCCGGCGGUAAAAAUUCAGGGCUCAACCCUGGCGAGCCGUCGGGACUGG